CCCGUGAUCCGGGUUGCGGACAGUGUCUGGUGGGUAGUUUGACUGGGGCGGUCUCCUCCUAAAGAGUAACGGAGGAGCACGAAGGUUGGCUAAUCCUGGUCGGACAUCAGGAGGUUAGUGCAAUGGCAUAAGCCAGCUUGACUGCGAGCGUGACGGCGCGAGCAGGUGCGAAAGCAGGUCAUAGUGAUCCGGUGGUUCUGAAUGGAAGGGCCAUCGCUCAACGGAUAAAAGGUACUCCGGGGAUAACAGGCUGAUACCGCCCAAGAGUUCAUAUCGACGGCGGUGUUUGGCACCUCGAUGUCGGCUCAUCACAUCCUGGGGCUGAAGUAGGUCCCAAGGGUAUGGCUGUUCGCCAUUUAAAGUGGUACGCGAGCUGGGUUUAGAACGUCGUGAGACAGUUCGGUCCCUAUCUGCCGUGGGCGCUGGAGAACUGAGGGGGGCUGCUCCUAGUACGAGAGGACCGGAGUGGACGCAUCACUGGUGUUCGGG
rnacentral:rRNA from 1 species